UUGGCCCCUGUAAUUUUCUUCCUAGGUUUGACGCUGUAGUCAUUUUCUGUGUGACUUUCCAUUUAGCACAUAUGUCUUGAAAGACGGCUGACAUGAAUUGCAUACCUCUGUCAGACAGAAUGAAAUCAGGUUCCCCUCCUCCGAGUGAGGAUUUCUUCUCUGAGGUGGGAAGCAACAGUUUGAGCAGUGGCACUUCACAAGGGGAAAAAUUCAAGCAAUCGAGAGUAAUAAUCUACAAAUCCAAUAGAUAUCCAUGUCUGUGGGAACUGUGAGGCAAUGGACCCAUGAUAUCCACUCUCAACAUCAUGUUUGGAUGUGUGGUGGUGGUGGUCUGUUGAAUUUUCCCAGCAGGUUUGCCAUUCUCAUUUUUCAAGGCUUGACAUUUUAUACACCUUUUCACAUACUGUUUCACAGAUGUCCACAUGACUGGCCAGAAGGCAACUUGAUGCACUCUCUGGUAAGUUUUGUUAAUUCCUAGGUGACCACUUAAUGGAUGUGCAUGGCAGUGGUGGAGACAGAAAGUAGUUGGAGGGUGGGCCUCUAAAAGAGUGGCGGGGCCUGAAUAAUUCACAUCACCUGGC
ensembl:lncRNA